GCCAAUGACUGGAGCUUUUCUUUAGUUGUUUUAGGUAGUAUGGCACUGAGCAUUUAUUUGAUUGAAAAACCCAGAUUUUUCGAUCUUUCCUAUGGCCGCUAUAUGAUAAUGUUGUCGUUCAUAUGACGCUCUCCAAUAUCCGCUAAUAUUCUGGAAGGGACAAGACGGAUACUGCAUAAACAUAAAACAACGAGAUCCCGUAUCAGGAGCUGAAACCAACAAGAACGUUAGCUCAAAGGAUUAUUAUGCGUACCGAUUAAUGAUUAGACGUGGCCUAGACAACGUAUUCUACGAUGUCGUGAGCUUUGUCAACAAUUCAUGGUCGACAUGUACGCGAAGAUUGAGAGCGAACGACUACGAUUCUUACGAUAUAAUCAACUAAAGCUGCGCGCGGAAGAGUACAUUCAUUUGCGGGACGCUAUCAACAACAACGCCAACGUCGCCGAAAUUGGUAACCAUGUCAUUUGCCAUCAUCAUUACAUGUGUUCGGUCCCACACGAUGCUGGCUGUAUUCGGUUGAGUGGCAAAAGCGAGGAUUACCUCAUGCAAACAUUUUGGUUUGGUUAAUCGGCAAAAUCCGUCCUGAAGAAAUCGAUUCCGCAGAAAUGAAAAUUCCAGAUCCAUCCUCUGACAGACUGCUGUUUGAUAUUGUUACAACAAACAUGAUUCACGGUACGCGAUUAGUAAUUAAAAAAUUAAUGAACAACGUGA